ACCGCGCAUCAAGAGUUGAGCGGACGCUCAACGCCAACCUGCUUUCCCGAGCAAGGUGGCGUCCCGAAGGGGGAUGUGGCCGGACCGGCAAACAAACGGGGUUCG
rnacentral:ncRNA from 2 species